AGUGAACGCUGGCGGUAGGCCUAACACAUGCAAGUCGAACGGACGCACAGUAAGAGUUUGCUCUUACGGGUGGCGAGUGGCGGACGGGUGAGGAGUACAUCGGCAUCUUCUUUUUCGUGGGUGAUAACGUGGGGACAGUUACGCUACUACCGCAUAUGACCUACGGGUGAAAUCAGGAGAUCUUCGCACUUUGCGCGAUUGAAUGAGCCGAUGUCGGAUUAGCUAGUUGGCGAGGUAAAGGCUCACCAAGGCGACGAUACGUAGCUGGUCUGAGAGGGUGAUCGGCCACACUGGAACUGAGACACGGUCCAGACUCCUACGGGAGGCAGCAGUAGGGAAUAUUGCACAAUGGGCGCAAGCCUGACCCAGCCACACCGCGUGAGUGAAGAAGGCCUUCGGGUUGUAAAACCCUGUUAUUAGGAAAGAAAAGCUGCAGAUUAAUACCCCGCUAUUCUGACGGUACCCAAAGAAUAAGCACCGGCUAACUUCGUG
rnacentral:rRNA from 1 species